AGUGAACGCUGGCGGUAGGCCUAACACAUGCAAGUCGAACGGCAGCACAGUAAGAGCUUGCUCUUACGGGUGGCGAGUGGCGGACGGGUGAGGAAUACAUCGGAAUCUACCUUUUCGUGGGGGAUAACGUAGGGAAACUUACGCUAAUACCGCAUACGACCUACGGGUGAAAGCAGGGGAUCUUCGGACCUUGCGCGAUUGAAUGAGCCGAUGUCGGAUUAGCUAGUUGGCGGGGUAAAGGCCCACCAAGGCGACGAUCCGUAGCUGGUCUGAGAGGAUGAUCAGCCACACUGGAACUGAGACACGGUCCAGACUCCUACGGGAGGCAGCAGUGUGGAAUAUGGGACAAUGGGCGCAAGCCUGAUCCAGCCAGACCGCGUGGGUGAAGAAGGCCUUCGGGUUGUAAAGCCCUUUUGUUGGGAAAGAAAAGCAGCAGGUUAAUACCCCGCUGUUCUGACGGUACCCAAAGAAUAAGCACCGGCUAACUUCGUG
rnacentral:rRNA from 1 species